UACGUAGGUGGCAAGCGUUGUCCGGAUUUACUGGGCGUAAAGGGCGUGCAGGCGGUUUGUUAAGUCUAGGGUGAAAGCUCCCGGCUCAACUGGGAGAGGUCCUUGGAUACUGGCAGACUUGAGGAGGGUAGAGGAGAGUGGAAUUCCCGGUGUAGUGGUGAUAUGCGUAGAUAUCGGGAGGAACACCAGUGGCGAAGGCGGCUCUCUGGGCCCUACCUGACGCUGAGACGCGAAAGCGUGGGGAGUGAACCGG
rnacentral:rRNA from 1 species